AUCGCUUCUCGGCCUUUGGGCUAAGAUCAAGUGUAGUAUCUAUUGUU
rnacentral:snRNA from 1 species